UAAAAUACUUUGCCAUGAGUACUUUGCAUCUCCCACUAAACCCUAUGCCCCCUAUCUCAAUGCAACUGCCGAGAAAAAAAAGAAAAAAAAAACUCUGCAACUCUCAGAACCGCUGUUUGGUUUGAUCAAUCCUCUCAAAAUUUGCUCUUCACAAUCGCAAUCAAUCCCAGCAACUUAACUACAGCGACUUCGAUAUUCACGCGCAGAAGAAGAAUCUUCACUUCACCUACAGGUGGGUUUUUCUCAAUUCCUUCAGUUGAUAUGUUAAGGGCAAUUACUAAUUACAAAAUUGGGUGCACUCUUUUUCUUACAGCGUUUGAUAUAAUGCAGCAGGUAAUUAUAUCUUUUCCUUUCACUCUUUCUGUCUUCCAGAUUCCCAUUUCGGAUAAAGUUCUAUUUGAAUUAAUAAAGAUUAAUAUUUUCACGUCUUGAAUUCAAUGUACAGCAGUCGUAGCAUUGUGCUGAUUUUUUAGAAGAUAGAAAACUUCGUUUAUUUUGAGAGAGUAACCCUAAUGCAAUUUAAGUGUUUGUGGAAAAGACGAGCAGAAAUUCAUCUUUAAUUUUCACUCCAUUGGUUUGUGGUACCAUGGAUAACCUUGAUUUAAGACAAAUCUAUAAUCAUGGAAGGAAUCAGAGUUUAAAGUUUUAACUUUAAGAUAAUUUAAACCAUGUUCUUGAACGGAGAAGCAAGAGUUAAGUCAACAAAUUUCGUGCUAGGACUAAAAAAACCCUCAAAAUCUGUAGCUACAGAGCCUCCAAAUCCGAAGGUAUAUGCUUUUCAAAGGGUAUUCCUAAUUUAUGGAUAGAGAUUGGAAUCAAUUGUUAGGUUAGAAUAUAUACAUCAAUUCCAAAACGGGAGAUGCGGAAGGGUCUCUGUUUUUAGAUCAAAGGGAGUUAGUAAAACUGAAGAGCUAUUUGUAUAGGAGACAUGGAUAGAAGCUUCAAAAAUCUUUCCCUAAAUUUGAGGUAUCCAUUCUCUCUUUCACUAUUGAAUGAACAUUUGAAAUCUUAUCUCUAAUAUUGAUUUUGUUUUAGAUUGUUGAUGAAAACAAAAUCUUUGCCUGAUUCAUUUUUUUUUCCCGUCUGCAAGUGAUAGCUGAGAUAGAAUGUUCAUGUGACCUGAUUCAUUUCUAGGGUUUGCAGAUUAAGCUUUGUAAAGUCCCUUUUUGCUUCUGCUAUUUUGGGGGCUUUAGCAGGUUUAUGAAACUUUUGGUGAAAGAAAUUCGUUAAACCAUGUCACUAAUAAUUAAAAAAAAAAUCCGCAAGGCUUUUUUGGCAGCAACAGGGCAAAAGCUGACAGGCUAACAACUUAGUAUCGUUAUAUCCUUACACAGGGCGUGUUGAGAUUCCAGUGUCACAGGGUAAAGCAGGUAAUUGAAUAUUUCGUCAUUUCGAUGUUUGCUCACUAAAUUAUAUGGCAUACUUCCUCAUGGACACAAGUGAAUGCUAUCUAAUAUGAGAAUUAGUGGAAUGUUUGGCCUUGCAUCUUCUCUUAGAACCAUUGCUCUAUUAUCUUCGCAAUGUUACUUAACUCUGAUGAUUUGAGUAAGGAUUUUCUUUCCCGAGCCAAAAGGGACAAGGGUUUCAGUCAGGUGAAGAUGGCAUCAUUGGAUGAUCUGGGAAUAUGCUAACGUUGACAUCUGUUUCGACCGCCAUCAAAGGUUUAUAAUAUUAAAAAGUAAAUUAAGGGAAUGGGACAUAGCUUUUACGGACAAAUUGGAUAACGACGGCCUUGCACCUCAUGUUAGCAUAUGAGAACUAUCGCUCCAUUAUCUUUCGCUAUGAUGUGUUUAACUCUGAUGGCAUGGUUUAAAAAAGCGUUUGUGGGGCGCGCUUUAGGUCGCUUUUUUGCGCUUUAGGUUGUGGGCGCUUCUAGAGCGCCGCUAUAUGAAUUGGUAUAUAUUAGGAAAAAAAAAGUUGGGCUUUGAAGCCCAAUAAGGCCUUUUUCAUGUUUUCUAAUAAACCUAAUUUUUUUAUUUCCUUUUUCAGAAACGUUUCUUCUUCUGCCUCUUCUUCUUAUAUCUCUUUUUAUUCCAAACGUUUCUUCUUCCACAGCUUUUUUUUUUUUUUUUCUCUUCUGCGCUGUGUGAUCAAAGUCCAGAAUCUUGCUCUUCUAUUCUGUGUUCAUCAUCAUCUAGUCUACAAAUAUGGCUAGCAGCAGUACUAGCAAAGCUAAGAAAGAUAUGAGAACAGAUGCUGCUUGGAAGCAUGGAACUUAGGUUGACAACUUUUUAUUUAAGUAUAUUAUUAUAUAUUUUAAAAAGCUCGCUUUCGCUCUACGCUUUCCUAGCGCUUUACGCUUUGGUAUGACAGCGCUUUGCCCCACGCUUUUGCUUUUUAAAACCUUGUCUGAUGGUUUCAAUAAUACUUUUGUUUUCUGAAUCAAGGGACAAGGGUCACAGGUGAGGAUGUCAUUAUGAGAGACCGCACCCACUGCACGGGAUAAUCCUCAACAAGGGCAAGCUUCCAUUACAAACAAUGUGUCCACGGUGCCAGCAUCAGGCACAGUCAAAGCGAAAUAGCAGUCAGGUAUUACUCAAGUUUAUUAAAUACCUGCUGGAAUACCUUAGGUUUUAUUCAAGUUUAUUAGUAGGCAUGGAACUGUCGGCAUGACAUGCACACAAGAAGAUAUCCCAUAGUGAAGGCAUCACCAUCACCUCAGACAUCAUUGUGAACCCACAUCUACUCCUUAUGAAUGACAAUGGUCAGCUUAUUGACUGAACCAUGAGAAAGGUUGAAGAUCAUUUGAGGUAUAAGAGGGAGAUGCUACUUCCUUUGCUUAUUGUUGUAGCGUGAGUAUGUCAUCAUGAGAGCCAAAGGCCUUCUGUUGGGCUCUAUUUGUGUAGUUGUCCCUUUGCGGGUUGUAUAAUAGUUUUGGCAUUAUUUUCUAAGUUAACUUGGUCAAAUCAACAACUUGGAUUGCUAUUAGAUGCAGAGUUAGGUCAAUAUGUUCUAUGGAAAUUACACUCAUGUAAACUAUUUUAAAUCCUACUCUUGAAAGUUGAUUUUUUUUAAUGAUUGAUUUUUAUAACA